rfam:Helianthus annuus linkage group 1, whole genome shotgun sequence.
AGGCCGUGAUGGGGACACUUGCGUAAUAGCUCCUUGAACCUUUCCCAAGUUUCAUAUAAGGAUUCCCCGUCCUCUUGUGAGUAUGUAUUAAUUUAAGCCAUUAAUUU